CUGAGACCUCUUUCAACAAAUUCAAGUGAGAACCUGGAGAGUUUGGGAAGAGAGAAGACUUUGGAACUCCCGGGUUUGCAUUCUCCCAGGACUUUCUGGCCCAGAAAGAGGGUGACUUGGGAGGAGUUACCACAACCACACAGAGAGUGACAGAGGGAGACAGUAGAGGGAGCUUAAGCCAAAAGGUUGAGACAAGAGGUAGCAGUUACAGAAAAGUUGAGGGUGGGAAAGGAGCAACAGACCUUUUUGGGUGGGUAAGAGAGAAAACAAUGGCUCAGGUAAGGGGGCUAAUGUCUCAGUGGAGUCAAAUGUUCACUUCCUUCCUGAAGCCUGGACUGCCUGAUGUGGGUUAGUCUGCUGACUGUGGCGUCUUUCUUCCCCACAUGCUCUGUCUUCUCUACACUUUCCCCAGAGGAGGAGAUCCUGACCCAGUUCCAGAUCGCUCAAUCUGGAGAACAAGUCUCUAUGUUAUAAGAUGCCAUCUAGAAAGGCCCACCUGUCCUAGCACUGAGGGAGACCAGCAGACAGGGAGGCACAGAAGUCUUCAAUCUGGACAGGUGCCUGCCAGUACCCCUGAGUGAGCUCGGAUCCUGAGUGAAGCAGGUCCUGCCUCAGAUCAUGAGCUUCUAGAGGGCAGGGACUUUGUUGAUUUUUUCCAGCACUGGCACUGCUUGAAUGCCCAGGGCACAGUUGCUGAAUGAAUAGAUAAGAAGAUCCAACCCACUACUGACCCACUUAAUUAUUAGAGCCAAAUUCUCUUCCAUCCUUUUAAAUGGACUAGGUUGACUGUUGCUGAGCUAACAUCUGUGCCAAUCUUCCUCUGCUUUAUAUGGGAUGCCGCUACAGCAUGGCUUCACGAGUGGUGCUAAGCCAGCGCCCAGGAUCUGAACCUGCAAAUUUCAGGAUGUCAAAGAAGAUGCAACUCUCCCAGCAGAAAGGACAAAGAAGACUCAACGGAACCAGGAGACUCUAAGAUGGCCUUUAUUGUUUCACAGAGAGCGAACGCCAGACUGUUCUCCAGUAGCUUGCAUAGAGGAACAGCUCUGUGGACUGUCUGUUUAACGUGAGCCAAGAACUUUGUGGUUGAUGCCCUGGACGCUGAUCAGGGUUGUGGUGAAGACACAAUGAAUAUGCAUGGAAGACACAUAAUAUGCAUGGAAGUGCUUUAUACAUUGCCAGAUCCUAUGCAGAGUCCAGAGGUUUGUAAAGGAUGAAGAAAAUUGCUGCUGACUCUACAACCCAUUUCAGCCAAAUUGCGAGGCCCGAAGGUCCUGGUGACGUUGAGAACAGCAGAUGAUUGGAAAGGUUUAUUCCUCCACACCUGGAUGAUAGACACAAGUCCACUGCAAACAUGAGGUUGGCUUUAUUUGUAAGAGUCACAGCCACACAUGGAGCCCUAACAUUCCCCGCUGCAGUCUACUCAGUGACAAUUAUACUGACUGCCAGUGUCAGUACGUGCUAAGUACAACAGCCAUCUGAGAGUUGCCUGCUGAAUGGAUAUGGCAUCAAGGCUGUAGGCUAGGGAACUUAGGAUGGAAAUGUUCCCUGAAAGGCUUAGUUCUCCCACCAUUCGUGUUACCAUAACACUCUGAUUCAUGUGAUACACUGUGAUGACAUGUGGCCCUCACUUUACAUAUAUAGAUAUAAUGUGGCACACAAUCCACUGUACUUUUACGAUUAUGUAAAAUUUUCAUUUCAAUUAAAAUGCGAAGUGGAAAGCUUGUGUAGAGUGCACAAGAGUUUUUAUUCUGUGCUCCCAGGUGUGAAGGGAUCACAGUUUCUGCACAAACUUUUGGAUUGGUUCACCUGGAGCAUGACUCAAGAGAAGCAUUUCCAAACAGAUAUCUCAAGAUGGGCAAGAUACUUGCUCCCCCUUGUCAAAGAGAAACAGCAUCAGACCCUUGUUAAAGGCAGAAAGACAGGUUUUAUUCAGAUUACUGCAGUAGGGGCGAGAUA
ensembl:lncRNA